ensembl:lncRNA
CGCCGGGCAGUCUGUGGGCGGGGGGCCGCUGGGGCGGCCGCUAGCUCCGCUGGGCCCCGUUCAGCAGCUCCGUGAGCUCCCCGAUGUACUUGAUGGUGUACUUCAGGGUCUGGAUCUUGACCCCUCCCAGCUCCGACAUUCCUUGUUCUGAGGCCCUUCAGGUUCUUCACGUCUGCCCAGCCUGGUCCCAUGCAUUGGGUUCUAGAAAUGGCCAGCACCGGACACAAAUAGUAGCUGUCUGUGAAACCAUCGUCUACAUCCUUCUAUUUAUCAGUUACUUCUCUGGGUGCAGAGAGCGUCUUCCUUCCCAGUUGGGGAAUGGCUGAAAAGCUGGGGCAGGAAAUUGGGGUAGAAUAUGACUGUGCUAUCGGAAAUUACAAGCUCAAGGAUCUUGGAAAACCAUGGAAAGAUUUGCAUGAAAUAAUAAAGAGCAAGAUGAGAAGAAAACAUUGUCCACAGUGAAAUUGUUUUGAUAAUGACUUUGAACAACUAAGUCACUUUUAGUAUUAUAUUUGCUAUAUUUACUAUUAUAUUUAUAUAAUUUAUUUACUAUUAUAAAAUGUCCAAAUUAAUUACAAAGGAGAUAUGCA